AUACGGAGGGUGCAAGCGUUGUCCGGAUUUAUUGGGUUUAAAGGGUGCGUAGGUGGUUUUUUAAGUCAGUGGUGAAAGCCUACAGCUUAACUGUAGAGGUGCCAUUGAAACUGGGAAACUUGAGUAUGGACGAGGUAGGCGGAAUUUGUGGUGUAGCGGUGAAAUGCAUAGAUACCACAAAGAACACCGAUAGCGAAGGCAGCUUACUAGGCCAUAACUGACACUGAGGCACGAAAGUGUGGGGAGCGAACAGGAUUAGAUACCCUAGUAGUCC
rnacentral:rRNA from 1 species